rnacentral:rRNA from 1 species
CAACAGGGAUUGCCCUAGUAACGGCGAGUGAAGCGGCAACAGCUCAAAUUUGAAAUCUGGCCUCGGCCCGAGUUGUAAUUUGCAGAGGAUGCUUCUGGCGCGGUGCCUUCCGAGUUCCCUGGAACGGGACGCCACAGAGGGUGAGAGCCCCGUAUGGUCGGACACCAAGCCUGUGUGAAGCUCCUUCGACGAGUCGAGUAGUUUGGGAAUGCUGCUCUAAAUGGGAGGUAAAUCUCUUCUAAAGCUAAAUACCGGCCAGAGACCGAUAGCGCACAAGUAGAGUGAUCGAAAGAUGAAAAGCACCUUGAAAAGGGGGUUAAAUAGUACGUGAAAUUGUUGAAAGGGAAGCACUUAUGACCAGACUUGGGCCGGGCGGCUCAUCAGGGGUUCUCCCCUGUGCACUCCGCCCGGCACAGGCCAGCAUCGGUUCUCGUGGGGGGAUAAGACCGUCAGGAACGUAGCACUCUCCGGAGUGUGUUAUAGCCUGGCGGACGAUACCCCCGUGGGGACCGAGGUCCGCGCAUUGCAAGGAUGCUG